ensembl:lncRNA
AUGAAACCCCAGACUGGUGGCUGGCCUGGGCCCCCACCUAGGCCAGGGUCACCAGGAACAGUGGCUGUACACCCUGGGGUGAGCUGCGCGAGACCAGGGACAGUGGCUGUACACCCUGGGGUGAGCUGCGCGAGACCAGGGACAGUGGCUGUACACCCUGGGGUGAGCUGCGCGAGACCAGGGACAGUGGCUGUACACCCUGGGGUGAGCUGCGCGAGACCAGGGACAGUGGCUGUACACCCUGGGGUGAGCUGCGCGAGACCAGGGACAGUGGCUGUACACCCUGAGGUGAACUGCACGAGACCAGGGACAGUGGCUGUACACCCUGGGGUGAGCUGCACGAGACCAGGGACAGUGGCUGUACACCCUGGGGUGAACUACGCAAGACCAGGGAGUGAGAUCCCACCUCCGUGGCGAAGACGCCACGGUGGAGGCCAAGCUGUGGCUGGGGCUGUUCCCAGGGGAGACACAGCCACAGCCUCGCCUGCCAGGGCCAGAGUGUGGCGUGUCCAGCUCUGGACGCAGCUGUGGGACAUCGGGGUCCCGACUUGUCUGUGGUGGGGCCACCCACAGGGCAGCGGCCGGCUGGCUAGGACGCUGCCCUUCUCUCCCUCACUAGCAGAGAGCAGGCUUGUGCACUGGGGAAAGCUAAGCUCGGCCAGGGAGAGCUGGUGGCCAGCCCGGCCGCCCUGGCACAGCUUGGUGACAGCUCAGAGCCCUCAGCCCUGCAGCGUUGCACACAGACCUCUCGGCAGUCGCUCAGCCGCGUGUGGACAGCCCCGAGGACACCUGCACCUGGCCUGGUGCGUGGUCUUCCUCUGCCUGCAGGGCCGCAGCGUACAGAGGACGCCUGGCCAGCUGCUGGCACGGCUUGACUGCCUCGGGGGCGGACGUGCAGCCCCACGGAGGGCAGCUCCUGGAGACAAAAGGCCACGGUCUCCCUGCUGACGCAGUGCACGGUCAGCAGGUUUGGGGCCCACAGCUGUGGCCCUGAGGGCGGCUGUCGCUGUGCUGCCCCUCGUGCCAGACGGGCAGAGUGGGCAUUGGGGGUCUUGGAGGGAAGUUGCUUUUGGGGAUCUCAUCUUCAGGCUCUGUGCUGCCACGGGCCCUCCUGGGGUCCCAGAGCCCCCUGUGUCUGGGGUCAGCAUGGUUUUCUUGUGAGCCUACAGGUGCACUGCUCCUCUGUGGACACUGAGGGCUGGCCCGUGCAGGCUGUCACUGCCAUGCAGUUGCCACCUCCUCGGAGGACAGUGUCGUCGGGGGCUUGGACUCUGCUUGCCUGCUGCUGGGCCGCAGGUCCUCUAUGGCAGGGCAGACCCCCAACCUGGGCCCUGGGCCCUGACCCGUGUCCUUGGUGCUUUGUCCCUGUCUCCUGGGCGUGCUGUCCACCAGCGAGGCACAUCCUACAGCAGUGUGUGACGCUUCCAGGAGGUCACCUCUGGCUGGGCAGGGGGAAAGGGCCGGCAGAGUCCAAGGGGCAGGGGAGGCUGGGGAAGGAGGCUUGGGGUAGGUUCUGGGUGGACCCAGGGACACUGGGGAGGGGCCACCGUUGAGCCUGGGCUUUCUGUCUUAGAGGGAGCUUGUCAAGGACAGCAAAGGGUGGGGCCGGCAUCCCAGUGCAGAGGGUUACGCUGCAGCCUGCAGUGCCAGCAUCCCACAUGAGCCCUGGUUUGAAUCCCGGCUGCUCCACUUCUGAUCCAGCUCCCUGCUAGUGCAGCUGGGAGAGCAGCAGCAGGUGACCAAGUGCUUGAGCCCCUGCACCCAGGUGAGAUACCCAGGUGGAAAUCUAGGCCCCUACCUUUGACCUGACCCAGCUCCAGCCAUUGUGGCUGUCGGGGAGGGAACUAGUGGAUGGAAGAUCUUUCUUUCCUUGUAAUUCUGCCUUUUAAAUCAAUCUUAAAAAAGAAAAAUGAGAGCAGAGGUGGAGAGGUGGUGGUCACACAGAGUG